GGUCUGGCCCGAUGGCCUGCCUCUCCCUGUCGUCGAAGGGCCCACUGGCGCCGGCGCCGCUGUACAUGGACCACCGCUGUACAUGCUGCCGGUCGGGGGCCGACAACAUCGAGUUCUCGCCCAACUGCUCAAUUCGGUGGAUGGAGUUGUCUCUGUAGAGUGCGUU
rnacentral:SRP_RNA from 14 species